CUACGGGAUGCUCCAGUGAGGAAUAUUGCACAAUGGGGGGAACCCUGAUGCAGCAACGCCGCGUGGAGGAUGACGCAUUUCGGUGUGUAAACCCCUUUUAUAUGUCAAGAAAAUGACGGUAGCAUAUGAAUAAGCACCGGCUAACUCCGUGCCAGCAGCCGCGGUAAUACGGAGGGUGCAAGCGUUACUCGGAAUCACUGGGCGUAAAGGACGCGUAGGCGGGUUGGAAAGUCAGGUGUGAAAUCCUACAGCUUAACUGUAGAACUGCACUUGAAACUUCUAAUCUAGAGUAUGGGAGGGGGAGAUGGAAUUAGUGGUGUAGGGGUAAAAUCCGUAGAUAUCACUAGGAAUACCUAAAGCGAAGGCGAUCUCCUGGAACAUUACUGACGCUAAGGCGUGAAAGCGUGGGAGCAAACAGGAUUAGAUACCCCGGUAGUC
rnacentral:rRNA from 1 species